rnacentral:rRNA from 1 species
UACGUAGGGUGCGAGCGUUGUCCGGAAUUAUUGGGCGUAAAGGGCUCGUAGGCGGUUUGUCGCGUCGGGAGUGAAAACACCGGGCUUAACUCGGUGCUUGCUUUCGAUACGGGCAGACUAGAGGUAUUCAGGGGAGAACGGAAUUCCUGGUGUAGCGGUGAAAUGCGUAGAUAUCGGGAGGAACACCAGUGGCGAAGGCGAUCACCUGGGGUUGUUCUGACGCUGAGGAGCGAAAGCUAGGGGAGCAAACGGG